CCUACGGGAGGCAGCAGUUAGGAAUCUUGCGCAAUGGGCGAAAGCCUGACGCAGCGACGCCGCGUGCGGGAUGACGGCCUUCGGGUUGUAAACCGCUUUCAGCAGGGACGAUUAUGACGGUACCUGCAGAAGAAGCCCCGGCCAACUACGUGCCAGCAGCCGCGGUAAUACGUAGGGGGCAAGCGUUGUCCGGAUUUAUUGGGCGUAAAGAGCUCGUAGGCGGUUUGGUAAGUCGGGUGUGAAAUCUCCACGCUCAACGUGGAGGGGCCACUCGAUACUGCCAUGACUCGAGUCCGGUAGAGGAGUGUGGAAUUCCCGGUGUAGCGGUGAAAUGCGCAGAUAUCGGGAGGAACACCCGUAGCGAAGGCGGCACUCUGGGCCGGAACUGACGCUGAGGAGCGAAAGCGUGGGGAGCAAACAGGAUUAGAUACCCUGGUAGUCCACGCCGUAAACGUUGGGCACUAGGUGUGGGGAUCUAUCGACGGUUUCCGUGCCGAAGCUAACGCAUUAAGUGCCCGCUAGGGGAGUACGGCCGCAGGCUAAAACGUCAAAGGAUUGACGG
rnacentral:rRNA from 1 species